CCGAGGUGCGGAAGGAGGUUCUGUUCUUCAACAACUUCCUGCAGGACCCCAAACGCCCCGCUCUGCCCGAGGGGAAGGGGGGACCCCCGCCGGGACCCGCGCAGGGUCUGGCCCCAGGGCUGCUGUACCCCCCCCAGACCCCCCAGGGGAUGAUGCCCUACGGACAGCCCCGACCCCCCAUCCUGGGCUACGGAGGUAUGGGAUUGGGGUGGGAUUAUGGGAUUGGGGGCGGGAUUAUGGAGGUUUAGGGUGCGAUUAUGGGAAAUGGGGGUGGGAUUAUGGGAUUGGGGGUGGGAUUAUGGGGAUUGGCGGUGAGGAAAUGGGGAUUUGGGUGGGAUUAUGGGGAUUGGGGGUGGGAUUGUGGAAUUGGGGGUGGGAUUAUGGAGGUUUAGAAUGGAAUUAUGGGAUUCAGGGUGGAAUUAUGGAGGCUCAGAUUGGGAUUGGGGGAUUGGGAGUGCGAUUAUGGAGGUUUAGAGUGGGAUUAUGGAGAUUGGAGGUGAGGAAAUGGGGAUUUAGGGUGGGAUUAUGGCAAUUCGGGGCAAGAAUGUGAGAUUGUGGCGUGAGAUUAUAGGGAAUAGGGUGGGAUUUUGGGAAUUGGGGGUGGGAUUAUGCGGAUUUGGGGCAAGAAUGUGAUCUUUUGGGGUGGGAUUAUGGGAAUUUGGGAUGAAGUUCUGGGGAUUAGGGUGGGAUUAUGGGGAUUUGGGAUGGAGUUAUGGGGAUUAGGGUGGGAUUAUGGGGAUUUCGGGCUGGAAUGUGAGGAUUUGGGGCAUAAUUAAGAGAUCUGAAGUGGGAUUAAGAGGAUUUAGAGUAAGAUUAAAAGAGUUCAGUUCAGGAUUAGGGGAUUUUGAGUGGGAUUAUGAGGGUUUGGGAUGGGAUUCAGGAAUUUAAAGCGGGUUUAUAGGGAUUGGGGUGGGAUUGAGCAAUUUAAGCUAGCCUUAAAGGAGGUUGGUGUGGGAUUAAAAGGCUUUGGAGGUGGUGAGGGGAAUUUGGGAGGAUUAUGGGGGAUUUGGGGAUGGUGUUUAGGGGGAUGAAAGGG
rnacentral:lncRNA from 1 species